rnacentral:rRNA from 1 species
UUACUGAGUUUUUAACUCUCCAAACCAUGUGAACUUACCACUGUUGCCUCGGUGGUCGGUGCUGGAAACAGUGCUGCCACCGGUGGACUACUAAACUCUUGUUAAUUUUUGUCAAAUCUGAAUCAAACUAAGAAAUAAGUUAAAACUUUCAACAACGGAUCUCUUGGUUCUGGCAUCGAUGAAGAACGCAGCGAAAUGCGAUAAGUAAUGUGAAUUGCAGAAUUCAGUGAAUCAUCGAAUCUUUGAACGCACAUUGCGCCCAUUAGUAUUCUAGUGGGCAUGCCUGUUCGAGCGUCAUUUCAACCCUUAAGCCUAGCUUAGUGUUGGGAGACUGCCUAAUACGCAGCUCCUCAAAACCAGUGGCGGAGUCUGUUCGUGCUCUGAGCGUAGUAAUUUUUUAUCUCGCUUCUGCAAGCCGGCCAGACGACAGCCAUAAACCGCACCCUCUCGGGGGGCACUUUUUUAAUGGUUGACCUCGGAUCAGGUAGGAAUACCCGCUGAACUUAAGCAUAUCAAUAAGCGGAGGAAAAGAAACCAACAGGGAUUGCCCUAGUA